CAUGCCCCGGGCGACGGCUCCCCCGUGAACCCCGUCCGGACCGGAAGGUAGCAGCGGUAGCGGUGGCGCCGGGUGCUCGGGGCACUUUC
rnacentral:SRP_RNA from 1 species